CAGCAGGAAGCUGUGUGGAAAUAGGACUGAGAACCCCAGCAGGACUGGUUUUUGGAGUUGCCCUUUAGAACUCACACACCACAGCCUGUCCUCCUUAGCAUCCACAUGGAGCCAGAGCUCGUCAGAUGCCCAGCAGGACCACAUGGGCUACCUCCCCCAAAGAGCCCGAGGAAGGUGGCCACGCGACAUUGACAAGGGGAGACUUGAGCUGAUAGGGUGGCAGCACUGCUGCGCUUGUCAUCUGCGCCGUCUGUGUCCUGGGCCUUCCCUAGGACUCGGCCAUCAGACCUGGUUCAGCUUUGCUUUCAAGGAUCCAUUCUUCUGAAAUAGGAAACACAAAGAUCCACCUUUGCUUUCUGGGAGAGCUUCUGCUCAACCCUGAAGACCCAUUUCCAAAGCUUUCUACAGCUUGGCCAAUAUUCCUGGUGCCAAGCAAGUCACUCCCGCUGCGCUGCCUCGGUCCAGGCCUUCGUCCCACUGUACGGUGAUCACGUCUGUUUCUGGAGGUACUGAAACGACUACUCUUCCUUAGCUUAGUGGCUAGUCAAGCGUGGCCUACAGAAACCUGGGGCCCCAGAUGCUUUCAGAAGGUCCUUGAGUUCUGAACUAUUUUCCUAAUAGCUCUGGGUUGCUCUUCGCCUUUCUUACCAUACUGUCAUUGGCACGGUGCUGAGUUAAAACGGGCAGCACCUUAGUGCGAACCAGGGCACUUCCUGUCACACAUUUCCACUGGAACAUACACCUGCUCUACUUACCAAUGGCCCUAAUGAAGCAGGAGCAGGGCAUUUUUAAAGUCUCAGCACUCAAGCACAAGUCUUCUUGACAAUCCAUGUGGAAGAACAGGAAGAAUACCUAAAGCACUUCCGUGAUGUACAAUGGGUGAGCGUAAUGCCUAGGAAAAGCACACGUGUGGUUGUUUGGCUUUUAGCUCCAGCAGCCACUUUUUCCAGAAAGCACCACUUUACCUGGAAGACUAACUGGCAAGCCAUGGUUAUCCAGAUUUGGGUAUCUGCAGAUGUUUUCUCAAAGAUUCACGAAGUGAGCCUGCCACCUCAAGGAAAGCAAUGGACAACAUUUGUGGCCAACGGUAAAAUGCAAGCUGUUAAGGGAAAAUUAGGGGUUUGGAAACGUCAGCUGCCUCUGUGAGUUUGAAACUUGCCACUGCGCUUCUCUGGUGAGCUCGGG